CGAAAGGAUAAAGUUUUCGAAAAGACCUCUUCCGGGAAUUUCCCAAACUCUGCUGUCUAUCGUAAUAAGAUAAGGAAACCCUCGAUUUUGCGGAAACCUCCGGCAGACAAGGAAUUCUGGAAAUAUAUGGUAAUUUCGCGAGAUGUUACGUUGGCUACUCCUACCACGCGGAGAUCGAUUUCAAAGGAUUCCGAUCGAGAGCAAAAUAUGAACAAGUGGUCCAGGAGAGGAUCGGGAAUGUCGAAGAAACGUGGAAGUUUAAAUACGAACGUACAGAAUAAUUUCAGAUGGUUCUAUAACAUUGGACGGGAGGAGAAAGAAUAUGCCAGUGACGACCAACGAGGAAUUCGUAUCGAGUGCAACGGGAACGGAGGCGAUAAUGGACAAUGAACCUUGUCAAAUGGAAGAAAGACGAUCGGCGGCAGUGAUCGGGGG